GAUGAACGCUAGCGGCAGGCUUAAUACAUGCAAGUCGUGGGGCAGCAGGGUUGUAGCAAUACAAUCGCUGGCGACGGGCAAACGGGUGCGUAACACGUACGCAACCUUCCCGUUACUGUGGCAUAGCCCAGGGAAACUUGGAUUAAUACCACAUAUUAUAUUGGUGAGGCAUCUCAUUGAUAUCAAAGCUUCGGCGGUAACGGAUGGGCGUGCGGUUGAUUAGGUAGUUGGCGGGGUAACGGCCCACCAAGCCUACGAUCAAUAGAUGAUGUGAGAGCAUGAUCAGCCACACGGGCACUGAGACACGGGCCCGACGCCUACGGGAGGCAGCAGUAAGGAAUAUUGGACAAUGGACGAAAGUCUGACCCAGCCAUGCCGCGUGAAGGAUUAAGGUCCUCUGGAUUGUAAACUUCUUUUCUCUGGGGCGAAAACCAGCUAUUCUUAGCUAUUUGACAGUACCAGAGGAAUAAGCACCGGCUAACUCCGUGCCAGCCGCCGCAGUAAAAC
rnacentral:rRNA from 1 species